rnacentral:rRNA from 1 species
UCAGCUCGUGUCGUGAGAUGUUGGGUUAAGUCCCGCAACGAGCGCAACCCUUGUGUUUAGUUUGCAAACAGGUCAAGCUGUGCACUCUAGACAGACUGCCGUGGACAACACGGAGGAAGGUGGGGAUGACGUCAAAUCAUCAUGCCCCUUAUGAUCUGGGCUACACACGUGCUACAAUGGCCGGUACAACGGGCAGCGAAGGAGCGAUCCGGAGCGAAUCCUAAAAAGCCGGUCCCAGUUCGGAUUGCAGGCUGAAACUCGCCUACAUGAAGUUGGAGUUGCUAGUAAUCGCGAAUCAGAAUGUCGCGGUGAAUGCGUUCCCGGGUCUU